rnacentral:rRNA from 1 species
CCCUUAGAUGUUCUGGGCCGCACGCGCGCUACACUGAUGCAUUCAACGAGUCUAAAACCUGUUCUGAUAGGGGUGGGUAAUCUUUUGAAUGUGCAUCGUGAUUGGGAUAGAUGAUUGCAAUUUUUCAUCUUCAACGAGGAAUGCCUAGUAAACGCAAGUCAUCAGCUUGCAUUGAUUACGUCCCUGCCCUUUGUACACACCGCCCGUCGCUCCUACCGAUUGAAUGAUCCGAUGAAUAUCAUGGAUUGAGGAUUAUAGCAGGUUCGCCUGUCUUGAUCUUCGAGAAGUGAAGUAAAUCUUAUCAUUUAGAGGAAGGAGAAGUCGUAACA